rnacentral:misc_RNA from 1 species
AACGCACAUUGCGCCCGCCAGUACUCUGGCGGGCAUGCCUGUUCGAGCGUCAUUUCAACCCUCAAGCCCCAAGGCUUGGUGUUGGGGCCCUGCGGCUGCCGCAGGCCCCGAAAUGGAGUGGCGGGCUCGCGGCGAACUCCGAGCGUAGUAGAAUCCUAUCUCGCUAGGGAGGCGCGGCGCGCUCCGGCCGUUAAAAAAACUUCUUUUAACCCAAGGUUGACCUCGGAUCAGGUAGGAAUACCCGCUGAACUUAA